rfam:Anabaena sp. CRKS33 359, whole genome shotgun sequence.
GGGCGGGUGGCGGAAUUGGUAGACGCACCGCACUCAAAAUGCGGCGACCGUGAGGUCAUAGGAGUUCGAUUCUCCUCCUGCCCA